GCUUGCUUCGUUGCUGAUGAGUGGCGGACGGGUGAGUAAUGUCUGGGAAACUGCCUGAUGGAGGGGGAUAACUACUGGAAACGGUAGCUAAUACCGCAUAACGUCGCAAGACCAAAGAGGGGGACCUUCGGGCCUCUUGCCAUCGGAUGUGCCCAGAUGGGAUUAGCUAGUUGGUGGGGUAACGGCUCACCAAGGCGACGAUCCCUAGCUGGUCUGAGAGGAUGACCAGCCACACUGGAACUGAGACACGGUCCAGACUCCUACGGGAGGCAGCAGUGGGGAAUAUUGCACAAUGGGCGCAAGCCUGAUGCAGCCAUGCCGCGUGUAUGAAGAAGGCCUUCG
rnacentral:rRNA from 1 species